GCCAGCAGCAGAGAGAGCUAGAGAAAGAGCCAAGAGAUUUGUGGGGGGCUGGGUUGUUUACUGCAGGAGCCCGAUAUAUGUGAUGUCGGGGCAAUAGUGUCAGGGCAGGCAGGUUCGUGGUUGAUUCCAGCAAGUGGAAAAGAGAAUCUUGGAUCCCUCGGUAGACUUGACGGGCCUUUAAUGCUGAAGCAGGGGACCAGAUCCAAGCAGAGUGGCAGCUUUUAGCCACUGCCCCAGCCAGCGUGAUGGAGACAGAAGACCUGCAUCGAGAACUCCAGAUUCCUAAUUAGCUGCUAACCGAUGCCACAGGCCCCUCGGGUGCUCACAGCGGGAAGGACACAAUUUGUCUACUGCCAAGGCGCGGAAGCCCCCCACCUCACAAAUGGAGCUUCAGGAGAGAAGGCCAGAAGAGCGAAACAGUAAAGAACAGUGUCCAUGAAGAAGCAAGAACUUUGAUUCUCUUUAUCCCCCCACUUGAAGCUGGCCCCUCCUUACUGUGACCCACUUUUAUGUCCCUGAUGACUACUCAAACCUGAUCCAUUUUAGAAUUCCUUCUCCUUUCACAUUUAUAUUAGAAUAAAACUAAC